rnacentral:misc_RNA from 1 species
GAUGAAGAACGUAGCAAAGUGCGAUAACUAGUGUGAAUUGCAUAUUCAGUGAAUCAUCGAGUCUUUGAACGCAACUUGCGCUCAAUGGUAUUCCAUUGAGCACGCCUGUUUCAGUAUCAAAAACACCCCACAUUCAUAAUUUUGUUGUGAAUGGAAAUGAGAGUUUCGGCUUUAUUGCUGAAUUCUUUAAAAUUAUUAGGCCUGAACUAUUGUUCUUUCUGCCUGAACAUUUUUUUAAUAUAAAGGAAUGCUCUAGUAAAAAGACUAUCUCUGGGGCCUCCCAAAUAAAUCAUUCUUAAAUUUGAUCUGAAAUCAGGCGGGAUUACCCGCUGAACUUAAGCAUAUCAAUAAGCGGAGG